rnacentral:rRNA from 1 species
AGAUUGAACGCUGGCGGCAGGCCUAACACAUGCAAGUCGAGCGGUGGAGAGGUGCUUGCAUCUCUUGAGAGCGGCGGACGGGUGAGUAAUGCCUAGGAAUCUGCCUAGUGGUGGGGGAUAACGUUCGGAAACGGACGCUAAUACCGCAUACGUCCUACGGGAGAAAGCGGGGGACCUUCGGGCCUCGCGCCAUUAGAUGAGCCUAGGUCGGAUUAGCUAGUUGGUGAGGUAAUGGCUCACCAAGGCGACGAUCCGUAACUGGUCUGAGAGGAUGAUCAGUCACACUGGAACUGAGACACGGUCCAGACUCCGACGGGAGCAGCGAGGUAGGGAAUAGUUGGAACAAGUGGGACGAAAGCCUAGACUCCACGUCCAGUCGCCGUCGUGUGGAGAAGUAGGUC